UGGCGACCGGCGCACGGGUGAGUAACGCGUAUCCAACCUGCCCUUUACUAUGGGACAGCCCGUCGAAAGGCGGAUUAAUACCGUAUGUUGUCAUGUUGAUGCAUAUUUUCAUGACCAAAGGCUUCGGCCGGUAAAGGAUGGGGAUGCGUCUGAUUAGCUAGUUGGCGGGGUAACGGCCCACCGGGGCGACGAUCAGUAGGGGUUCUGAGAGGAAGGUCCCCCACAUUGGAACUGAGACACGGUCCAAACUCCUACGGAAGGCAGCAG
rnacentral:rRNA from 1 species